CUGAAAUAACCAUUCAAAGGAAAUAAGUUUCCGACCUAUUUUCUGAAAAUGAUAGAAGUUAGUAGAGUAGCCUUGAUCAAACGCAACGGACGUGUUUUUCCCGUGGAAACGAAAUGUAUAAAAGAAGUAGAAGCAGAAGAAGAAAAAGAAGGAGAUAAAGACGAAGAUGAAGACGAAGACGAAAAGAAGAAAGAGGGGAAGAGAAAUAGAGGACUCGCGAGUGGCUGAUCGUGGAUCGAGAGACCUUGACACAUUUUGUUCGGUGGCGCCAAAUUGGUCGUCGAGCAGGCGGCCUAUCAUAAGAAAUAAGAAAGAGUCGAAAGGGAAGAGAUGCGAGAGGACGUCAGGUACAUGGAAAACAACGUAGUUAUGGGAGGACGAGAAGGAAAGAGAGGGAGGGAGGGAGGGAGGGAGAGAGAGAGAGAGAGAGGAAAAAGAGGCAAAGGACGAGAGAGAGGAAAAUCAAUGUCAGGCAGCGUGUGCGUUGCAGCCCAAAAUCAAGGGAGAGCCCUAGGCCCUCUCCCUCUUAUUCGAAGUGUACUACGGAGUGAGAGGAGAAGAGCCCUGGUCGAUUCGCGGCUGCAAGGGAUGCCAACCCUCUUUCACCGAGCAAAGGAGGAGAGACCAUCAGGGGAAACCAUAACCUGCACAACGGUCCACUUUCGAAACUUCUCCACGAUUCAAGAUGUCCGUUGAGAAUCCUUUCUGGAGCCGAUGUGAUAUAUACGUGAGAUUAUAACAAUUCUUAAAAUGAUAAAUCUAAUUGUCAAUGUUUUAUAAUAAUAACGAAACAAAUAGAUUUAACGAAUGCCUCGUACAAUAGUUUUGUCCGACCGCAACAUUCCAUUUCCACUUUCAAAGAGAAAUUCUCAGGCGGACGAAAAUUUCGAACUUUCCGUCAAACGUUCUAAACUAUAGUUUUUCUUUUUUGUAAUAUCUAGUUCUCAUAAAGUCCUAAAAAAAGAAAAAAAAAAAAAAAAAAAAAAAAAAAAAGAGGAAGAAGAGAAAGAAAAAAUAAUCAACUGAUUCUUUCGUUGAUUAUCGACGAGAAGGAGAAACGAUUGGGAUGUCUUUCUUAUUUAAAAUAAUGCGAAAAGUCUCAUUAUUAAGAAAGCAAUUUUUCGUAAGGUCAUUUUUUUUGGACAUUUAGGAGGAGCUCUUCUCUCUUUUCCAAGGAUGGACCACCCCACGAGAUGGUUCUCCGGCAGGCUCUCGAAAAAAUUUCAAGCACGAGAGGAGCCACGAGAGAUAGCCGAACGGUCUCGUCGACGUAUAUUCGACUCUCAACAUAGUGUCACGCACACGAGCGCGCAUCUACGUAAGUAAGUACGUCUCCACGUACAAUCACGCGAUGUAGCAAGCGCGUACGCACAAGCAGCCACACGGGGGACGAGCAUAAGCGCGCACACGCACACGCAUACACACUUACGUAAGCAAACGCGACGGUCGAAGCACGCAAACCUUGCGCGUCGUCGUCCACGAAGAACUUUUGGCGGCACGUGCACCUACACCAAUGCGUCGGCCGUUGCACGAACACAGUCGCACACGCAUCCGUGCACGCACGCAUUCGUUUAUUGAUUGGUGCGUGCUCUACCAACAGGAGCGUUUAAGCAUUUUCGGGUACCCCGUGCCAUCGACCAAUCAACGAGUAAUUUUUGUCCUUUGCGAACGACUACAACGAAUUUAAUAUAUUAAUGGCAAUUUAUCAUACGCUCUUUUUUUUCGCGUUUUUUCUAACGAAAAACAAAAUUGCUCUUUUCCCACCAAAAAUACGUGUCUCUUAAAUUCGAUAUAUAAGUUUUAUGAUCCGAAUCGAUUUUGCCUACGUCCAAUGUCCAAUGAUUCCCACUGUAUUAAUAGAACCUGUUCGAUAGCAAUAAAUUGAAAAACACAAGAGAGAGAGAGAGAGAGAGAGAGAGAGAGAGAUGGAAAGACAGACAGAGACAGAGAAAGAGGGAGAGAGAGAAAGAGAGAGAGAGAGAGAGAGAGAGAGAGAGAAGAAGAUAAAAAGAGAGAUUGAAUUAUCUAUACUCUUGCAGUAAAUUAGAAGAGCUUUUUCAUCCCCACCACUUUCUAAAAACGUAUCUUUAUGCAGGUGGCGCUACCGUUCGAGAGCGUCCAGAAACUUCCGCAAUGAACAAGAGAGAAAGAGAAAGAUAAAGAGAGAUAUAGCGGGAGAGAGAAAAAAGAGGAACACUUAGGUAUAAAUGUGUGAGAGUACGCCCACGAUGCAGCAUUUCGAUAAGGGAAGAGACAUACUCCCGUGGUGGUUGCCGCGUUUCUCCUUUGUGCAGGAAAAUACGAAAGUAGAAAGAGAAAGAGAGGAAUGAGGGCCAGAGAUGGGUAGGACGAUGGAAGCUCCGAAAGGGGUGGAAAGAGCAGGAUGAGAGGUAUAGGAGGGAUUCCUGGAUUUCCAGGGAAGAUAGCGUUACGCAUUGUGCGUGGGAGGGUAGCGCCGAGCUAACGCGCCUCUCCGUUGUUUUAUUCCGACUUGUCGAGCCGAGGAGUAUGGUAAUAAAGCUCGGAGGGACCGACCAUGUCCCUCUUCUCUGUCCCUCUUUCCCACCGAAGCGUUUCCUUUCGUAAGAUAAAAAAGAAAAAGAAAAAAAAAGAAAAAAAAAGAAGAAAAGACCAAAAGAAAAAAACCGUUCAAACGCUCGUGUCUCUAUUUUUUCGGUCUGCCUGAAUAUUUUUGGCUUACUACGUGACUUACACUACUCCUUUAAUCAUGAAUAGAUCAUAGAUUUUCAUAAAAUAAUCAUCGCGCGCGUGAGCACUUUGAUAUUUUAAUGUUAAUAAAUUAUUAUUCGGGGCAAGUACGCCGGAACAUGGUACACAACGCAUAGAUUGGGAUAUCCGGCCGGCGUAAAGCGCAAUUACUCGUGCGUAAGGUAUGCUGCAUUUUGUAGCGUUGAAAACAUAGGGAACAUGCUCGCUCGCAUCAACGGAUACGAUACGAUAUAGUGACCAUGACAUAGAACGCAAUAGACGUGCCUGGUGCUUUUUAGUAGUACCAUUUUAAAAUUGCAGAACGUGCAUCCCGAUUACAUACGAUUACCAAAUUGCUAGUCUCUAGUGUUGUGUUUCGUAUUACCUUAAAUGUACAUACACAAGUAGAAUAUAUUCAUUCAUACAGAUAGAAAUAGGAAAUUUACGAUUCUUACGACAAAAGAUAUACGAGUAGGCGGUUCAACAAUUUGAUCGUUGCAUAAAAUAAAAGCUGUUAGGAAAUGAUCACGUGCACGUGUAUCUAUGUACACGUAUACGUAUAUACGUAUUUAUAAAUAUAAAAGAACAGGACGGAAAAGAGCUCUAGCGAAAAAUGAACGUCGGACCGUGCUAAUACGUAUGCUUCAUUUAUCAGUCGCAUGAGUUGGCCCUCUGACGGUGUUAUCAUAAAUUAUUUCGUGACCCGAAUUCGGUAUUGCAUGAGCAGCCUAGACUCUAUCGUAUCCGGCCACCAUCACUGUCACAAACUCCACCUCCUCUUCUAACGGUUAACGACAACGACACGACGUCGUCGUCGUCGUCGACCGCUUCGAACGUGCAUGUGUGUGUGUGUGUGUGUGUGUGUGUACGCGCGCGCAACCGUGUCUUCGAACGCAAACGCGCAGCCACGCACGCAACGAGCGGCGCCGUUUGUGCUCGCGAACAAAAACGUAAAGCGAGGACGUUCGAUUCUUUAGGGGGGGGAAAAAAAAAGAAAAAAAAAAAAAGAAAUAGAAAGAUAAUCGUUGACUAUCGUCGACUAUCGCCAGGAAGAAAAAUAACGGGAAAAGAAAUGGAGUCGUACUCACCCUCGGGUGUCGAUACGGUACCAGCCUUGUUCAUCUUCGUAUUCCACAUGGCAGGAGUAGUUGGAGCGGGACUGAGAUCUGGAGUUGGUGGAUGUGCCGGUGGUAUCGAUACCAUCGCGGAGCCCAUUUGCGCGCCACGUUGUAAAUGUUCCGAAUUUGAGCCGUACCCCUCGAACCCCCUACCCCCGGAAUAUACCUCGCUCGAUAAUUUCUCUGCCAACUUCUCUGCUCGCUCUCGAUCCGUCAAUACCACCGGUUCCUGCUUUAUUCGUAGAUCUGUCAAACAAAUGCGAAGAUAUUCGCGAAAUUAGAUUUUACAAAAUAACUCGUUUCUUCGUCCAAAUUAUUACAAAAUCUUAUUAGACCGAUGAUUUUAUAACACAAUAUUCAACUAACCUUCAGCGACGCUUUCCUUGUAAUCACAGUUAUUCCGUUCCUCUGACCGCGCUUGUUCCAAUUCCUGCUCGAGUUCCGUUGGCGUGUGAGGCGCGGUAUGCGAGUGAGCUGGUGUUUCCGAGGGAUGGGCAAAGGGCUGAUAAAAGUGACUUUCCAAAAGAAGAGGAUGCGGUGCUGAAGCUGGCCGGAAUGCUGCACCGUCGCGCAACACGCUCGCCCUACCUAACGUGUCGACGUCGCUUGGCGAUCUGCAAGAUCGGACGAACACUAAAAUUGUUUAUUAGAAGUACCGGAAUAAUGACGAAACUACAAGGGAAGAAAAAAAAAACAACAACAACACGUGUCUUCUUCUUGUUAUGAACAAAAGAUAAAUGACGAAAUCGAUUAUCAAACCGUGAUUACGAAACCGAGCGACAGUCCUCGGAGAAUCGGCUGUUAGAUAAGCCAAAGUAUUGUGCGUGCAACUCACACGCAUAGAAAUCUUUACGUAAAGAUGCGCGUACACGAACGCGCAUAGCUUGCAUAAUAUCAAAAGAGGUCUAAAUCUCUAAAUGAUGUUGAACGGGGAGAAAGGGGGAAGAGAAGGGAGGACGUCCUCCCUCCUCGUUGCGUCAAUCCAUUUAAUCGACACAAUAGUCUCGCGAAAGGUCACCGAGGAAACUAAACGAAAAUAGUGGCGAAAAUAAUGUCGUAGCUUUUCGAACGAAAAAAUAAAAGGGCCUUACCUCAUUAACCUCUUUGGGGGACUUUCGAAAUAGUGAGAGUACAUGCUGGGUACGGUGUAUGCCGGUGCCGGGGACGGCGCAGGCGUAGGGGUUGCGUCUCUGCGUCUUUUUAUACUGUUCCUCAGCAUCGUAGCUUCACCGGCCUCGCUGAGAUCGGUGAUGUCACCGACUCCACUAUCGCCAACAGCACUCGUAGUAGAUACUGCACCAGCAGCGAUACUACCAUUUGGAUUUCCACUACCGCUACCGUCGACGCUACCACCAACUCCAACGCUGCUGCUACCACCGAUACUUCCUGGUGCACCGACUUCGCCAACUCCGCUACCUCCACCCCCGCCACCCUCUCCGCCGGUGUCCGUCGACGAAUUAUUGCUCUCAGCCGCAUGUCUCUGCGCCACUGCUAAUUUCUCGUGCUCGAUCGACAGACCUUUUACCUGUUGUUCCAACAGUUUUUUUUUUAUUUUAUCAUGUUUAAUUUAACAAUUUCACUUUUUCUAACCAUAUAAACUCGCAUCUGAUUUGUAUUCUUUAAAUCGUUUCUUCGAGUAAUCUAUCGUUAAUUAAAUAAACGAUAAGAUAGAGAUAAAAGAGAGAGAGAGAGAGAGAGAGAGAAGGGUAAGAAAGAGAGGG